rnacentral:rRNA from 1 species
AACGAACGCUGAUGGCGUGCCUCAUACAUGCAAGUCGAGCGGAGUCUUCGGACUCAGCGGCGAACGGGUGAGUAACACGUAAACAAUCUUCCUCAAGGGUUGGGGAUAACCAUCCUAACGGGUGGCUAAUACCGAAUAUUGUUGAGAUAUCUCCUGAUAUUUUAACGAAAGGCGCUUUUGUGUCGCCUAGAGAUGAGUUUGCGUCCUAUUAGCUAGUUGGUAGAGUAAUAGCCUACCAAGGCAUCGAUAGGUAGCCGGCCUGAGAGGGUGAACGGCCACAUUGGGACUGAGAUACGGCCCAG